AGGGAAGUGACAACUUGGAGCAACUUCUGGAAAUGAUGGAAUUGGAGAACAACAGAAGUCAGAAGGCCACAUUCGCCCCGCAAAUGGACACAAAGCAGGUCCAACGUGAGUCGUCUCCUGUCCACAGCAGUAGCAAUUUUUCACGUCCUGCUCGACCAGCCAAUCAGCGCCGUCCAUCUAGAUGGGCUAAACACAACCCACCAUGCAAGAUCAUUCACACAAGCCCUGGCCUGAAAGCCAAACGGUUCUUGAAUUCAUAUUCGCAGCACACAGAAACCAUCAUCAUGUGACCGACCAGGAUAGAACACACUUGAACGGACACUUCAAAGGACACUUAACGGAAGAGACAAACCUUUGACAUUUGUAGAACACAAUCGACUUUUUUAUAUAUACAGAAGCAUCACCACAAUGUGAUUUCAAAGAAUCUUAUUGCAGCCCACUCGGAUGGCCCGUGGCGUUUUACUUAACUUCAAAAGGACGAUGUUUUCAUUCAACUCUGCGCUGUUUGAAGUGCUUUGGAAAGAAACUCCAGUGGAGAUUCUCCGACCUGGUGAACUUCUGUGCCUAUGAACCCUUCAUUGCCUUUUCAUUUCGUUCUGCCAUUUCUCAUUCGGUUUUGUAUUCUUUUAUUCUUCUUUUCUAUUCUUCCUGAGUGCUUUGUGUACAGUGCAUUUCAUGCGGUGUCAUGUAGGGCAUUUUUGUAACCGUAUACAGUGCGCAUGUAUGCUACACGCAUAACAUGUAUUUGAACAUACAUGGCAACGACUUC
ensembl:processed_transcript